GCUGGCGGCGUGCCUAACACAUGCAAGUCGAACGAGAAAGUGGAGCAAUCCAUGAGUACAGUGGCGACCGGGUGAGUAACACGUGACUAACCUGUCCUCGAGUGGGGAAUAACUCCGGGAAACCGGAGCUAAUACCGCAUAACAUCGCGAGAUCAAAGCAGCAAUGCGCUUGAGGAGGGGGUCGCGGCUGAUUAGCUAGUUGGUAGGGUAACGGCCUACCAAGGCGAAGAUCGGUAGCCGGCCUGAGAGGGCGCACGGCCACACUGGAACUGAAACACGGUCCAGACUCCUACGGGAGGCAGCAGUGGGGAAUUUUGCGCAAUGGGGGAAACCCUGACGCAGCAACGCCGCGUGGAGGAUGAAGUCCUUUGGGACGUAAACUCCUUUCGACCGGGACGAUACUGACGGUACCGGAAGAAGAAGCACCGGCUAACUCUGUGCCAGCAGCCGCGGUAAUACAGAGGGUGCGAGCGUUGUUCGGAAUUAUUGGGCGUAAAGGGCGCGUANGCGGUGCGGUAAGUCACUUGUGAAAUCUCCUGNCUCAACUGGGAGCUUGCAGGCGAAACUGCCGUGCU
rnacentral:rRNA from 1 species